rnacentral:rRNA from 1 species
UACGGAGGAUCCGAGCGUUAUCCGGAUUUAUUGGGUUUAAAGGGUGCGCAGGCGGGAGAUUAAGUCGGCGGUGAAAUUUUGCAGCUUAACUGUAACAGUGCCGUUGAUACUGGGGAGCUAGGAUUUGGUUGCUGUGGGUGGAAUGUGUGGUGUAGCGGUGAAAUGCUUAGAGAUCACACAGAAUAUCGAUUGCGAAGGCAGCUCACAAAGCCAAGAUUGACGCUGAGGCACGAAAGUGUGGGGAUCAAACAGGAUUA